CAGAGCUCUACAUCACAGAGAGUGAGAGUGAAGAGAUCAAUAAUGAGCAUGAGGUGAGACAGAUUGAUUUAAUUUCUUUUUCCCAGAAACACAAGAAAUGAAAAUAUCCUGUGAUGAAUAUAAAGUGUUGAUCAUCUUUGAUGGUCUGGAUGAGUGUCGUCUGUCUCUGGACUUUAAGAGCAAAGUGAAACUGUGUAAAGUAUCUGAAUCAGUCUCAGUGGACGUGCUGCUGAUGAACCUCAUUGUGGGGAAUCUGCUUCCCUCUGCUCUCAUCUGGAUCACCUCCAGACCAGCAGCAGCUGAUCUCAUUCCCUCUGAGUGUGUCCAUCGAGUGACAGAGGUACGAGGCUUCAAUGAGCCACAGAAGGAGGAAUACUUCAGGAAGAGAAUCAGUGAUCAGAGUCUGGCCAACAGGAUCAUCUCACACCUGAAGUCAUCAAGGAGCCUCUUCAUCAUGUGUCACAUCCCAGUGUUCUGCUGGAUCUCAGCCGCUGUUCUAGAGAAGAUGUUGAGUCAAGCAGAGACUGGAGAGAUUCCCAAGACUCUCACUCAAAUGUACACACACUUCCUGAUCCUUCAGACCAACAUCAAACAUGAGAAGGACUAUGAGAAGAAAGUGAAGGAUGAAGACAUGAUCCUCAAACUGGGGAAACUGGCUUUUCUGCAGCUUGUGAAAGGAAACCUGAUCUUCUAUGAUGAAGACCUGAGAGAGUGUGGCAUUGAUGUGACAGAAGCAUCAGUGUACUCAGGAUUGUGCACUCAGAUCUUCAGAGAGGAGUUGGGCUUGUAUCAGGGGAAAGUCUUCUGCUUUGUUCAUCUGAGCCUUCAGGAACAUCUAGCAGCUCUAUAUGCACACCUCUCCUUUACAUACAAAAAGAAAAAUGUGUUUGACAAAACCAAACAAAGUUCUUUGUCUAAAGUCCUAAAUAGGAUGAAGUCAAUGUCUAAGCUGCAUCAGAGAGCUGUGGAUGAGGGUUUACAGAGUAAAAGUGGACAUCUGGAUCUUUUCCUGCGGUUUCUUCUGGGUCUCUCAGUGGAGUCCAAUCAGACUCUCUUACAAAAACUACUGACACAAAGAGAAAGCUGCUCCUACAACAAAAAGAAAACAGUUCAGUACAUCAAACAGAAGAUCAGGAAGAAUUGCUCUGCUGAGAAAUCCAUCAAUCUGUUUCACUGUCUGAAUGAACUGGGUGAUGAUUCACUGAUGCAGGAGAUCCAGCGUUAUCUGAAAUCUGGAGAAAUAAGAAAAACCAAACUCUCCUCUUCACAGUGGUCAGCUCUGGUUUAUGUGUUGCUGAUAUCAGAGCAGAAGAUGGAUGUUUUUGAUCUAAAACACUUUAUUGGAGCACAAACGAAAGCAGAUGAAGUUCUUCAGUAUUUGUUACCUGUGGUUAAAGAAUCCAGAUCAGUUCGUGGACAGCACCGAUAUCAUUUUAAGAGAACACAGACGAGCAGAGUACCAGGUCAGCUCCCGCGAACAACUCAGAAUAGCGGUGCGCCUGACAAGUCGCGGCCGACAUGGACAGAGCAAGAUACUGGCAGCAAAAAUACUACUACUUGGUGACGUUUACAAAGACUUAAUCAUGAAGAGAGAUGCUUUUAAGAGAGGAGAAGACAUCUGGAAGACCACUGCAGAGAAAGGGAAAAAACACCUGAAGCCAUAAAGAGUGCAAGUACAUCUCAAAGUACAGCUGAUGCUGGAAUGGGAGACAAACUUAAAAGAGACCUCCAGAACCUGCAAAGACUGAAAGCACCUGUAACCUCUACUCCAUUGUCAGGUGACUCAGAUAACACUGACACUGACCUGUUUGAAAAUACAGAGCAGAGACAAUCAAGGAAAAGAAGUUUCCUGGGAUUGUAUCAUCUCUCAAAGAUGUAAUAGAGUCCAUGAAAAGAGGCCCAUACAGCUCAAGAUCAAGUCUCUUGCUGAAUCCUCAGAAAUGACACUAAGAUAAAAGAGUUCCCAAAGACGACAGUGUCUGAGGUGCGGGCCCUCAUUUGGAGGAAGUGCAACAACGAGUCAGCCUCAAAGAACAUUCACUCUCCAUUGAAAGGAUGAAGAAGAUGUGAUGUUUGAGUUGUUACAGUUCUUGGUUAACUGUUUGGCUAUUGCUAGUUUGUUAAAAAUGCAUUUGUUUGUCUUCUGUGGCUCCAUAUGUGGUUCAAUUGUUUGAUGAAAUUGCUAGUUUCCUACAAAUGCUCUUUAGUGAUUUAUUUUUUAUUAUUCUUAUUUUGUGUUAAAUGGAGCUCUGCAGAUCACUUAUCUUUAUUUUUGAGAACAUAUUUUGGCUAAAAAAAAUGUCAAAUUAAAUAAAAGUUUUGUACUUUAUAAAUGUGUAUUUGAUACUGUCUUUACAGAAACAGUAGUUUGCAUUAUAUUUGUAAUAUAUUAAACUUUUGUUAUAAAAAGUAUAUUUUUAAUAUUAAAAAA